GGAGACGUGGCGUAACGGUAGCGCAUCGGUUUGCUACACCGACCAGGCUAAUCACCUGUCAGGGUUCGACUCCCUGCGUCUCCG
rnacentral:tRNA from 1 species